rnacentral:rRNA from 1 species
CGUAGAGAAAUCGAGUCUUAAUAGGGCGUUUAGUUGCUGGGUGUAGACCCGAAACCGGGUGAUCUAUCCAUGAGCAGGUUGAAGGUUGGGUAACACUAACUGGAGGACCGAACCCACUGUCGUUGAAAAGCCAGGGGAUGACUUGUGGAUAGGGGUGAAAGGCUAAUCAAACUCGGUGAUAGCUGGUUCUCCCCGAAAGCUAUUUAGGUAGCGCCUCGGACGAAUACCAUUGGGGGUAGAGCACUGUUUCGGCUAGGGGGUCAUCCCGACUUACCAAACCGAUGCAAACUCCGAAUACCAAUGAGUACUAUCCGGGAGACAGACUGCGGGUGCUAACGUCCGUAGUCAAGAGGAAAACAAUCCAGACCGCCAGCUAAGGCCCCAAAAUUAUAGUUAAGUGGGAAACGAUGUGGGAAGGCAUAGACAGCUAGGAGGUUGGCUUAGAAGCAGCCACCCUUUAAAGAAAGCGUAAUAGCUCACUAGUCGAGUCGGCCUGCGCGGAAGAUGUAACGGGGCUAAAACUAUAUGCCGAAGCUGCGGAUUUGCAAUUUAUUGCAAGUGGUAGGGGAGCGUUCUGUAAGCCGAUGAAGGUGUAUUGAGAAGUAUGCUGGAGGUAUCAGAAGUGCGAAUGCUGACGUGAGUAACGACAAUGCGAGUGAAAAACUCGCACGCUGAAAGACCAAGGGUUCCAGUCCAACGUUAAUCGGGGCUGGGUGAGUCGACCCCUAAGGCGAGGCCGAGAGGCGUAGUCGAUGGGAAAUUGGUUAAUAUUCCAAUACUUCUAUGUAAUGCGAUGAGAGGACGGAGAAGGUUAAGUCAGCCUGGCGUUGGUUGUCCAGGUGGAAGGUUGUAGGCAUGUAUCUUAGGCAAAUCCGGGGUACUGUAUGCUGAGAACUGAUAGCAAGCUGUACUUGUACAGUGAAGUGGCUGAUACCAUGCUUCCAGGAAAAGUCUCUAAGCUUCAGUUACAUAGGAAUCGUACCCGAAACCGACACAGGUGGUCAGGUCGAGUAGACCAAAGCGCUUGAGAGAACUCUGCUGAAGGAACUAGGCAAAAUGGUACCGUAACUUCGGGAGAAGGUACGCUGCCGACGGUGAUAGGAUUUACUCCUUGAGCUAUUGGCAGCCACAGAAACCAGGCCCCUGCAACUGUUUAUUAAAAACAUAGCACUCUGCAAACACGAAAGUGGACGUAUAGGGUGUGAUGCCUGCCCGGUGCUGGAAGGUUAAUUGAUGGGGUUAGCGUAAGCGAAGCUCUUGAUCGAAGCCCCAGUAAACGGCGGCCGUAACUAUAACGGUCCUAAGGUAGCGAAAUUCCUUGUCGGGUAAGUUCCGACCUGCACGAAUGGCAUAAUGAUGGGGGCGCUGUCUCCAGCAGAGACUCAGUGAAAUCGAAUUCGCCGUGAAGAUGCGGUGUACCCGCGGCUAGACGGAAAGACCCCGUGAACCUUUACUGCAGCUUGACAUUGAACUUUGAUCUUACUUGUGUAGGAUAGGUGGGAGGCUUUGAAACCGAGACGCUAGUUUCGGUGGAGCCAAUCUUGAAAUACCACCCUGGUAAUAUUGAGGUUCUAACUCUGUCCCGUUAUCCGGGACGAGGACCAUGUCUGGUGGGUAGUUUGACUGGGGCGGUCUCCUCCUAAAGAGUAACGGAGGAGUACGAAGGUGCGCUCAGCGUGGUCGGAAAUCACGCGUAGAGUAUAAAGGCAAAAGCGCGCUUAACUGCGAGACCCACAAGUCGAGCAGGUACGAAAGUAGGUCUUAGUGAUCCGGUGGUUCUGUAUGGAAGGGCCAUCGCUCAACGGAUAAAAGGUACUCUGGGGAUAACAGGCUGAUACCGCCCAAGAGUUCAUAUCGACGGCGGUGUUUGGCACCUCGAUGUCGGCUCAUCUCAUCCUGGGGCUGAAGCAGGUCCCAAGGGUAUGGCUGUUCGCCAUUUAAAGAGGUACGCGAGCUGGGUUUAGAACGUCGUGAGACAGUUCGGUCCCUAUCUACCGUGGGCGUUGGAAAUUUGAGAGGAUCUGCUCCUAGUACGAGAGGACCAGAGUGGACGAACCUCUGGUGUACCGGUUGUGACGCCAGUCGCAUCGCCGGGUAGCUAUGUUCGGAAGGGAUAACCGCUGAAAGCAUCUAAGCGGGAAGCCUACCUCAAGAUAAGAUUUCCCUAGGACUUUAUGUCCUCUAAAGAGCCGUUGAAGACUACGACGUUGAUAGGUUGGAUGUGGAAGCAUAGUGAUAUGUGAAGCUGACCAAUACUAAUUGCUCGUGAGGCUUGACUAUACAACACCCAAACAGUUGG